AUGCAGCAGCAGGCAACAACUCCAACACUAGUGGCUAGUGCCAAGAUGCAGCGCCUUCAUGGGCGAGCCGGCCGGGGCGCCGAGGAGUGUGGUCGUGGAUGGCGGGGGAUGGCAGCGGGGAUGGAGCUCCGGUGCUUCCGUGACAGAGCGAGCCGAAGAGUUGUGGCGGUGCCGGCGACGACAAAACGGAAGGGCACGAUAGGGCUGCGUGUGCAUCAACCAACUAGACUGCCGACUCCUCCUUCCGCCCCUACACCACACAGGGCACACCCCUCACGAUCUAGGCCAAGGGAAAAACCUAGGACGAGACGGAGAUAUUGGGUGCGAGGGGAGCUCCAGAAAACGAUGGAGGUGUGCCCGUCCCGUCCCGUGGUCGACAGGGCAUGGCACUCCUGUCACGCGAAAAGGGAUUCAAAUUUGGAGUCCGGCUAUGUAGCUGCCUGGGCGGUCGGCACCGGCUCGACCUGCAACGAACUCCGGGUGCUCCUCGACGUCAUGGGCGCACCCCUUUUGCGCUUGCGCAUGUACAUGUCGCUGAGCCGCCCCUGCAUCUCAGCAUCAAGGACACUCAAAUGUCUCCAAUCGAUUAAGGAGCUCAUGGCAGAGGACCACAGUGAGGCUACAUCGUGGCUAUGGCUUCCAUCUCGGAAAUCAAAUCGCCAAAGGAUCAUAUUAUUUACGGCACCAUUACAGUCAUCUGAAUAUCGCAUUUGGCGAUGGAUUCACGAGAAACUCACCCAAACGCCUUCUUCAGUAGCUGCCUGGGCGGUCGGCGCCGGCUCGACCUGCAACGAACUCCGGGUGCUCCUCGACGUCAUGGGCGCACCCCUUUUGCGCUUGUGCAUGUACAUGUCGCUGAGCCGCCCCUGCAUCUCAACAUCAAGGACACUCAAAUGUCUCCAAUCGAUUAAGGAGCUCAUGGCGGAGGACCACAGUGAGGCUACAUCGUGGCUAUGGCUUCCAUCUCGUGUUGGAUAUAUAGCAAUGACUGCAUGGGUUUUCUGCUGGUACUACAAAGCUUUCAUGAAGAAAUUGUUUGACCAUCCCUUUAGCCUGAUAAAUUUUCUUGCUCAAGGGAUGGCCACCACUCCAAGGCACACUCCACAUGAUGAGUCAGGUGACACGAGCAACCAUCAGUUUGAAGGAGGAAGGGGAAAAUCGACGGCGCCUCCAAGGAGGAGACAGGCAUCCACGAACGUCGUCGACGGCGGCCUAACAAAAUUCUUUAAGGAGAGAAAUAAGACAUACAACAACGUUUACCAUUCGCUGCGGAGAACAAAGGCGACCAACUCCACACCCGGUUCGAAUAAGGACAACCAAACACAACAACACGGCUACGACACAAACAGCCUACCCAACACCAAGCCCCUUGCCGCGUCUCGACCGACACUGAAGACCUCUGAAGAACAGCAACUCCAGCUUCCUUGGAGUAGCCAACGACGACCGUACAUGGCGCCGAAGGAGAAAGAUCCGGGUAGUGGUGAACACCGUAGGAGCGCAUCAUGGGACCUCGAGUCUCCCAGCACAAUGCUCCCAACAAAGCCACGCCCUCUUCACCAAUGCCCGGGCCCCGAUCCUCCCCACCGCUCCGGCAAGACGCUCAUCAGCCCCCCCAAAGCUCGAGUCGGCGCCACCCCAACCAGGCACAGCGCACGCCAAGCAGCGGCCAACUCCAAGGUGCCAGUGGCGCAACGUGCCGCGCUCCUGCUUGUGAAGAAGCUGGGCCUGCUGGGGCCAAAGGAGGCCAUGACAACGCAGGUUGCCGAGGCGCUGAUCAAGCGCUUCGACGAACCCCUCUCUGACGAAGACAUCUCCAUCAUCGCCAAGCUCACCCGCCUCGAUCCGGAGGCGCUUCGCAUCGCCGGUGGCAUGGCUGGCCCGGACGGAGAUGCUGCAACUGCAACUUUAUAUGUAGUCUCCGUGCUAGGUCCUGUUGGCCCGCCUCGCGCCAGAGAUUCUUGGGGCCUGUUGGUGGUCUCUGGCCUGAAUUCACCAGCGAGAAGAACCGUUGUAAAAGAAUUAGCUGAAUCCCAUAGGACCAGUAUCCUUUGCCUGCAAGAGACAAAGCUCGAAGCCUGGUCUGCUGAAAUCGUCCGUGAGCUGGGUGGAUGCUCCCUAGACGGCUGUGCGGUCUUGCCGGCCAUGGGCACCCGUGGUGGCGCAACGAUCUUGUGGAAUAAGCAGUUGCUGGAACUUGUCACACACGCUGUUGGCGCCUUCUCCAUCACGGCCAGAGUCCAAGUGAUUCAGAGAAACUGCUCUUUCUGGCUGAGGACGGUGUAUGGCCCGGUCAACGACGCCCUCAAGGAUUCUUUCCUCGCUGAACUUCUCUGCACAUCUCCAAGUCUCCAAGAUCCCGGCCAGUCCCGAUCAGAUGCCUCGCACCGCCGUCACCGCAACAUCUUGCCAUCGAAGCCCCCCCUCACUGCCGAGGGGACACGCCUAAAGCCAUCACCUUCAACAUCAACUAGGAACCGCAGCAUCCACCGAGUGGUGCAAAGCCAGUUCCGACACGGUGGCCUUCACCCACGCCAGGGGAUUGCCACCAGAAUGGAUCCGACUCGCACCUCUGACCAUCCUCCAGCACCCACACCGCCGAGGCAUCGCCGCACGCCUCACACGGUAGCAACUGAAUGCCCGCUGCCCGCCAAGACCCUUCCUGGCAAGGCCUCGCAGCACCGCCGCUGUCAUGGUUGCGCUCGCACCGCCGCCACCGCUAGUGCCGAUGCACCACCUGCAUCAUCCAUCCUGCUACGUUCCAUGCAAGGAUCCAGCGAUAACCGCCGCCCCCCUGCCAUGAGCACCUCAAGGACGCCAGCCAGUGCCGAAAACGCACCAGAUCCGGCCCGAGAUCCUCGGAUCCGCACGGAUCGGCCCGCUCGAAACUGGCCAGGCACGAACUCCCCCGCGGCGAGGAGCACCAACCCGCAGCCGGCCUGCGCACUCCAUCGCGACGCGCCACCGCCAGACCGCCGCGACGCCCCGCACCACCUCCGGCCAGCGCGCAUCUCCGCCGCGUCGGCCACCGAGAUUCGACGCCAGGCUGAAGAAGUGAUUGCAAUGGGACCUUUUGUCCCUGUCGAGCUCCUCCUCCCGCCAGAUCCGCCAUGGACAAGGAGCUCGCAGCUUCGCCACUCGUCGCUGGCCCACGGAUGCUAUCGCCCAUGCACCGCCUGCGCGUUGCCCACUUGCCGCCGCCGCCGCCUACGCGCCGGCUAUCUUCGCUGCCUGGCCGCCUCCUGCCCAGACACAUACGCUACCCGCCCACUUGUCACAGAGCCCGUAUACGCCAUCCACCCAUGUGUCGGCCAUCUCCGCUGCGUGGUCGCCUCCCGCUAUGGGUUGAUGCUUCGAUUCAAGCUCUCCGACGAGGAGCCAUGGUGA
rnacentral:rRNA from 1 species